AUGCCACUAGAUGAAUUUUGCAAGGUUUGCAAAAUACCCUUCGAGGGUACCUUAGAUGAACCACAUCGUAAAGAUGUGGAUGGGUUUAUUGACAUCAUUACUGUGGGGGAAACCAGGAAGGUUUCCGAUGCAAGAAUCACUAGCAUACAUUUUCUUGUUUUAUGCUACUUUGCUAUAUUUGCUAGUCGUUGCUUGAUUGGUCGCGGAAACUGUGGAAACCUUAGUGUUCCUGAUAUUAUCAUUUUGUUCCAUGGUUUAUUUUCCGAUAACACUGUUAGUAUGGGCGGUAUUAUUGCUAAACGGUUAAGUCUAAACCAUACUAAGGGUCCCAUCUUUGGAGGUAUUUACGCUUCACGCCUUGCUGCAUAUUAUAAUAUACCUAUUAGGCACUAUGAAAAGGAAGAAAAAUUGAUGCCCACUGCUUAUUUAGAUUAUAAGAGUAUGGUAGCACAUGACUUUAUUGUUAAGAACAAGGAAGGGGAGCUUAAAUACAAAUUGUUCUUUGAUAAACAUCACCAUGAGACUAUUACCUUGCCUGCUCCUUCCUUGUUUAAUUUAUCUGAAGGUCCGUAUCUCGUUCCGUGGGCGGCAUUUACACUUACCGGAACCCUACACCAGCCCCGGAGGCGGAACCACAAUUUGAGCCUCCACGACAGUCUGAUUACUUUUGGGAUCCGGAGAUGA
rnacentral:rRNA from 1 species